rnacentral:rRNA from 1 species
AUGAUACGCGAGGAACGUUAACCUGGGCGUCGAACGUAAGAUGACUGUAGGUGAAAGCUUACAUCUCUUCGGAGCAUUUUACGAGGUGCUGCAUGGUUGUCGUCAGCUCGUGCCGUGAGGUGUUGGGUUAAGUCCCAUAACGAGCGCAACCCCUACCUUAGUUGCCAUCAGGUUAAGCUGGGGACUCUAAAGGAACUGCCUACGCAAGUAGUGAGGAAGCGGGGAUGACGUCAAAUCAGCACGGCCCUUACGUCCAGGGCUACACACGUGCUACAAUGGCCGAUACAGAGGGCAGCUACCUGGUGACAGGAUGCAAAUCUCCAAAGUCGGUCUCAGUUCGGAUCGGAGUCUGCAACCCGACUCCGUGAAGUUGGAUUCGCUAGUAAUCGCGCAUCAGCCAUGGCGCGGUGAAUACGUUCCCGGGCCUU